rnacentral:rRNA from 1 species
GGCGGACGGGUGAGUAACGCGUGGGAACGUGCCGUUCUCUGCGGAAUAGCCAUUGGAAACGAUGAGUAAUACCGCAUACGCCCUUCGGGGGAAAGAUUUAUCGGAGAAGGAUCGGCCCGCGUUAGAUUAGGUAGUUGGUGGGGUAAUGGCCUACCAAGCCUACGAUCUAUAGCUGGUUUUAGAGGAUGAUCAGCCACACUGGGACUGAGACACGGCCCAGACUCCUACGGGAGGCAGCAGUGGGGAAUCUUAGACAAUGGGCGCAAGCCUGAUCUAGCCAUGCCGCGUGAGUGAUGAAGGUCUUAGGAUCGUAAAGCUCUUUCGCCAGGGAUGAUAAUGACAGUACCUGGUAAAGAAACCCCGGCUAACUCCGUGCCAGCAGCCGCGGUAAUACGGAGGGGGUUAGCGUUGUUCGGAAUUACUGGGCGUAAAGCGCGCGUAGGCGGAUUGGAAAGUUGGGGGUGAAAUCCCAGGGCUCAACCCUGGAACUGCCUCCAAAACUCCCAGUCUAGAGUUCGAGAGAGGUGAGUGGAACUCCGAGUGUAGAGGUGAAAUUCGUAGAUAUUCGGAAGAACACCAGUGGCGAAGGCGGCUCACUGGCUCGAUACUGACGCUGAGGUGCGAAAGUGUGGGGAGCAAACAGGAUUAGAUACCCUGGUAGUCCAC